GAUGAACGCUGGCGGCGUGCCUAAUACAUGCAAGUCGAGCGAACAGACGAGGAGCUUGCUCCUCUGACGUUAGCGGCGGACGGGUGAGUAACACGUGGAUAACCUACCUAUAAGACUGGGAUAAAUUCGGGAAACCGGAGCUAAUACCGGAUAAUAUAUUGAACCGCAUGGUUCAAUAGUGAAAGACGGUUUUGCUGUCACUUAUAGAUGGAUCCGCGCCGCAUUAGCUAGUUGGUAAGGUAACGGCUUACCAAGGCAACGAUGCGUAGCCGACCUGAGAGGGUGAUCGGCCACACUGGAACUAAGACACGGUCCAGACUCCUACGGGAGGCAGCAGUAGGGAAUCUUCCGCAAAGGGCGAAAGCUUGACGGAGCAACGCCGCGUGAGUGAUGAAGGUCUUCGGAUCGUAAAACUCUGUUAUUAGGGAAGAACAAAUGUGUAAGUAACUAUGCACGUCUUGACGGUACCUAAUCAGAAAGCCACGGCUAACUACGUG
rnacentral:rRNA from 1 species